ensembl:lncRNA
CGCCUUAGCCUUCCAAGUGUUAGAGUUACAGAUCAGUACCACCGAGCCUGGGCUUCCUUCCUUCCUUCCUUCCUUCCUUCCUUCCUUCCUUCCUUCCUUCCUUCCUCCCUUUCACCCUAUCUCUUUUUCUUGUCUUUUUUUCAGUGCUGAGGUUGGAGCCCAACAGCCCAGGGUUUUCCAUAGCAGUGCCAUGGAUCCAGAGCCACAGGGACAUCUAAGCCACAUCUCACUCAGCUGCUGCAGCCACCUGUCACAUGUGGCUAGAAUCAUAGAACAGCUCCAGAGAGAGAGAGGCCUGGGAAGACUGUCAAGAAGUGGAAAGUUAAUAAAUUCUGUGUCACUCUGAAGACCAUGCUCUCAAGGCUCUCUAGGCCAAUAACCACGAUAAACUUGAGGAGCCGACAGAGGACACAUAUCCCUCUUGUCACUUAAAGACAAAACAGAAAAACAGAUGGCACCAGGCCUGACUAGCCGCUUUUCUCCUCCCCGCAAAGACCUGGUUAAUUCUGCGCACACUGGCUUGAUUCGGUGAAGUCGGUGUCCCUGAGUGACACCUGGAGGGAUGAACUUUGUCUGGACACCUGCAUUCUUCAUGGAAGGUGAGGCCUGUUAUAAAGGCGGUUCCUCUGAGAUGCCUGCAGCUGGCCCAAUAGGUGGGCCAGGCCGCCCAGUAGGAGCAGUGAGCUCUCACCCACCACAGCCGUCCCCGUACGCACUGAACUGCUCCAUCGCCCCACAGUCCCACAGUGUGUGCUCUUCGGGCACCUUCAACGCUAGAAAAAGAACCAGGCAGAACAAGUGGCAUGAGCGGCUGGAUACAACACGAAAGACAGUCCCCAAGCCCAGCCCCAAGGAAGGCAUCUGGGCAGGCUGGCUCCCCCACUAUGAAAAAAGCUAAGCAGUGAUUUGAACUUAUUUUCCUUUCUUUGGGUUCUUUUAAAACCUGUAUUGUGUGUUUUGUCUGCAUGUAUGUUAUGUGCACCAUACGCACACCCUAGGAGGUCAGAAGAGAGCAUAGGAUCCCCCGGAACUGGAGUUUCAGAUGGUUGAGUGGCCGUGUGGGUUCUCGGAAUCAAACCAGGAUAUUCUACAAGCACUCUAAACAGUGAACCAUCUCUCCAGGCCCACCCCUUCUUUGAGACAGGGUCUACUAACUGUGUAACCCAGGCUGGCAAACUCUAGAUCCCCCCUGCCUCACCCACCCAUCCACACAAGUUCUGGCAAAGCAGGCACACAGCCAUACAUCACCCCCCCCCCCCCGCCCUCAUAGCAUCUCAUUUAAGACUCCAGGGCAGUGCUCCCCACUAACGUGAAACUGCCACGGGCUCAGACACUUUUGUGAACUCCUGCUGCCCAGUCACUGCCUGCUGGUCAGCUUCUCUGCCAUCGAAGAGGGAUCAUAGCCAGCCCGCAGCAGGCAGAUCGGGUGAGAUUCAGAACCAGAGCGGCAGACUGAAGUCCGAAGACAAAGGCUCACCCACACUGGUUUCGGGUCUGCCCGCCACAGACUGGAAGACCUGCCCAUCACUCUAGCCUCCUACUACACUCAGGGCUUGGCAGGUACCUUGCUUUCUUUCUCCAGGAUCUGUUGUCCUCUACAGCCUCGGAUAAUGAUAGUUACUGGCCUUCGUGGAGCACGUGCACAACAGGUUCAUCCCUUAGCAGCCCAAUGUCCAGAGGUGGAAACUGAGGUCUGGAGGAAAAAUAGAGAGGUGUCAGCAGGUGAUGAGACUGGAUGGCACCCUCAUAUCUGUCUGGUGACCUCUGGGCCAGCUUGAAGGUACCUCUGACCUCCAGCCUGAAAGCCACAUGCCAUUGAGGACAGCUAUGAGUGCGGCCCAACAAAAA